rnacentral:rRNA from 1 species
UACAGAGGGGGCAAGCGUUGUUCGGAAUUACUGGGCGUAAAGGGCGCGUAGGCGGCCUGCUAAGUCGAACGUGAAAUCCCCGGGCUCAACCCGGGAACUGCGUCCGAUACUGGUUGGCUUGAAUCCGGGAGAGGGAUGCGGAAUUCCAGGUGUAGCGGUGAAAUGCGUAGAUAUCAUGAGGAAUACCAGAGGCGAAGGCGGCUACCUGGACAAUUGCUGACGCUCAGGCACGAAAGCGUGGGGAGCAAACAGG